rnacentral:rRNA from 1 species
UACGGAGGGGGCUAGCGUUGUUCGGAAUUACUGGGCGUAAAGCGCACGUAGGCGGCUUUGUAAGUUAGAGGUGAAAGCCCGGGGCUCAACUCCGGAAUUGCCUUUAAGACUGCAUCGCUAGAAUUGUGGAGAGGUAAGUGGAAUUCCGAGUGUAGAGGUGAAAUGCGCAGAUAUCAGGAAGAACACCCGUGGCUAAGGGCGGCUCUCGUAGUACGGGUACUGACGCUGAGACGCGAAAGCGUGGGGAGCGAACAGG